UACGACCACAUCACGUUGAAAUACUUGUUCCCGUAUGAUCACUGAAAUUAAGCAAUGUCGAACCUGGUCAGUACCUAGAUGAGUGGCUGUUUGGGAAUGUCAGGUGCU